rnacentral:tRNA from 1 species
GCUGGGGAUACAGCUCAGUUGGUAGAGGACUUGCCUAACAUGCACAAGGCCCUGGGUUCAAUCCCCAGCACCACAGGA